UACGGCCAUAUCUCGUUGAAAAACUGGUUCUCGUACGAUCACCGAAGUUAAGCAACGUCGAGCUUGGUCAGUAACUAGAUGGGUGUCCGCUUGGGAAUACCAGGUGCAGU
rnacentral:rRNA from 1 species